rnacentral:lncRNA from 1 species
UCUACGACUGUGCCUACCCCCUAAGGAUGUCCCUGGGUCUGUAUCGCCGUUUGUAACACGUCCAAAAACCCAUAAAAAUGCCCUUAGCCCCCACCUGACUAANAACAACAACAACAACAAUAAUAAUAAGUGGUGCCUGGCGGUGCCCCCGAAUUUCCAAGCUCCCUCUGCCCUCUCCUCCGCUGCCCACUGCCUGAAUUUCGCACCUCCACCUACGUUUUGCAUGGAGGGGGAGGGAGAAGGUGGGCGCAGCUCCUAUAACCAGGCAACCCUCUUUAGACGUGGGGCUGUGCAGGAUGGGACUGUGAUUUAUAGGAUUUCUCCACUUUGUUCCUGCCUCCUCCUUGCUCUUCAGCCACUCCAAAGUCUCUUCGCCCUCGUUCAAAGCCACGAUUCCUUCCCCUCCGCGGCGGUGUGCGCGUCUCUCUCUUUCUCCCUCCCUCAUCUCCCUGGAGAGAGGGGGGGGGGGCGGGAAACUCAACUCCCAAACAUCGUCCAGAUGUCGAAGAAACGCAAAACCCCCGAGAGUGGAGGAUCCGGCCUCCACGAGGAGGAAUCCAAAACCCAGCUGGGGGACUGCGAUGAGCAAGGAACAGACUCAAAAAGUUCUUUUGUGGCACAGAAAUGCCUGAUGCAGCGCACUCUGCAGCAGUUAACUGCACCGUUUUCCUCUCCGGACACUAUUGAAGUUCGCGACUGGUUUGUUGCCAACUGGGCUCAUUUUAAAACCAACGCCUCAGACUACAAAAAGUUCGCGGAGCAUUUGCCGGGAGCCGCGCCUCGCCCCGAAGCAGACUGCACNACCACAGUCCCGGCUUGGGGCCACGGGCGCGCGUCGCUCUUGCCUUUCCUUCUCCUGGCUUUGGAUGCCCGAGAAACAACGUAGCCAACGAUGGAAACGCGAGAGGAAGGCGCGGCUCCUUGCCCUCUUUCCCUGGUGCUGAAACGGGGAUCGUUUGUC